rnacentral:rRNA from 1 species
AUUGAACGCUGGCGGCAGGCUUAACACAUGCAAGUCGAGCGGGGUGAUGGUGCUUGCACUAUCACUUAGCGGCGGACGGGUGAGUAAUGCUUAGGAAUCUGCCUAUUAGUGGGGGACAACAUCUCGAAAGGGAUGCUAAUACCGCAUACGUCCUACGGGAGAAAGCAGGGGAUCACUUGUGACCUUGCGCUAAUAGAUGAGCCUAAGUCGGAUUAGCUAGUUGGUGGGGUAAAGGCCUACCAAGGCGACGAUCUGUAGCGGGUCUGAGAGGAUGAUCCGCCACACUGGGACUGAGACACGGCCCGGACUCCUACGGGAGGCAGCAGUGGGGAAUAUUGGACAAUGGGGGGAACCCUGAUCCAGCCAUGUCGCGUGUGUGAAGAAGGCCUUAUGGUUGUAAAGCACUUUAAGCGAGGAGGAGGCUCUUUUGGUUAAUACCCAAGAUGAGUGGACGUUACUCGCAGAAUAAGCACCGGCUAACUCUGUGCCAGCCGCCGCAGUAA